GUCAACUUACGAGGACAUUGGAGGGCAAGUCUGGUGCCAGCAGCCGCGGUAAUUCCAGCUCCAAUAGCGUAUAUUAAAGUUGUUGCAGUUAAAAAGCUCGUAGUUGGAUUUUGGGAUAAGCUUGUUGGGCCGCCGCGAGGUGUUUGCCCCGACGAGGGUAUCCUUCCUCUCGAAAUUGGCGUGUGCGCUUAAUUGAGUGUGCGUCGAGUUUGGGACUUUUACUGUGAAAAAAUUAGAGUGUUCAAAGCAGGCUAUCGCUUGAAUAUUUCAGCAUGGAAUAAUGGAAUAGGACGUUGGUUCUAUUUUGUUGGUUUCUAGGACCGAAGUAAUGAUUAAUAGGGAUAGUUGGGGGCAUUAGUAUUUAAUUGUCAGAGGUGAAAUUCUUGGAUUUAUGAAAGACUAACUUCUGCGAAAGCAUUUGCCAAGGAUGUUUUCAUUAAUCAAGAACGAAGGUUAGGGGAUCGAAGAUGAUCAGAUACCGUCGUAGUCCUAACCAUAAACUAUGCCGACUAGGGAUUGGU
rnacentral:rRNA from 1 species